rnacentral:rRNA from 1 species
CUAAGUUUGAUGGCGACCGGCGCACGGGUGAGUAACACGUAUCCCACCUGCCGAUGACUCGGGGAUAGCCUUUCGAAAGAAAGAUUAAUACCCGAUGGCAUAGUUCUUCCGCAUGGUAGAACUAUUAAAGAAUUUCGGUCAUCGAUGGGGAUGCGUUCCAUUAGGUUGUUGGCGGGGUAACGGCCCACCAAGCCUUCGAUGGAUAGGGGUUCUGAGAGGAAGGUCCCCCACAUUGGAACUGAGACACGGUCCAAACUCCUACGGGAGGCAGCAUG